AGGAUGGGGGCGCUCGCUGAAUUUGACGUGCCUCUCUGAAAACGGGUGGGGAAAAAAACACAGGCAUACGUUCAGUCUGCAAUAUGUUCCUCAGAACUCUCCGGAGAUCAUUCACUCGACAGUGUGCAGAAAAUGCAAUGUGGGCUUCAGUGUGAUCAGCAUGAUAUGCUGUAAAUAAUGAGAAAUGGAUCACAGCCAGUAAGAACGUUGUUGAUACCAUCAAAGAAGCCUCCGCUCAGCUGGACUGGGUUGUCUCGGAACGAGAUCCUCUCUUUCCGUGAUGGAGCCGAGGUGACUCUUUUGGGAGACGGCACUUCUUUUUUUGUAAAGAAAAGAAAAAAAAAACAGAGACAGCACUGUCAAUCAGCCAGAACGGUUAUUCUGUACAUCGGCAGCGCAGAAGCCAGAAGGGAACAAAGAGGGUUCUUUCUGAAGCUGAUGUGUUCCACGUGUACAGCCCACGGCAGCAACGGGCAAGGAGUCGUACACAACGAGAAGGAGCAGCGGGCGAAGGAGGACCUUACUCACAGAUGGCAGGUACCAGACACACACUUCCACAAGUCUUUAAGUUAGGGCUGUAGGUAACAUCUAUAAAUUAACACUCAGAUAAGCUCUGAACACAAAAAACUGCAUCUUUUUUUUUUCCCCUCAGCCCUGAACAAAUUAAUCCUCAAAUUUCCUCAGCCCAGAACAAAAAGAAUCUCCCUUUUUACUAUUUUCAUGGACAAAUAAAAAUACUCAAACUACUAAAUCUUUAAAUGUUUGUUAUAUUGACUUCCAUCGAAAGUUAAUAUUUUUAUAUUCUCCUAAAACGUUACCAUUUUGAUUUUGUGUGAAUGGAUACAUUUUACAUUUUUAAUAUUUCAUAUGUGUCAUACUUAAAGCAAAAUCAAAGACUGAAUAAUUGCUUUAAAAGAGACACAUGUUGCUGUGCUGCACAAUUAGGAAGCCCCUUAGUAAAACAGCCGCACACACUAACCGCUGUGACCAAAUAAAUUGUUUGCAGCCAUUUUGUUUCCAUUAGCUUUGGGAACAGACAAAAUAGAGACACUAAAACGCAAAUUGAGAGAUUUUCUCCAUACCAGCAGUGAAAAUAUUUGUGGUGGUACCAGACAUGCCAUAGAUAUCCUGUUGCAUUAAGCUUCUAAAGAAAUUUUAUGGAGACAUAUUCUGGUCCUCAACUGGUUAUUACAUUAAAAAUAAUAAUUACAUUGUUUUUAUUAGACAGUAAAAUGCCUAAAAGUUAUAGACCCAUGCAAAUGUAUUUAUUUUGCUCACUAAAGCAUUGUAAUAUUAAUAUUACAGUAACCAUUACAAAAAAAAAUUGUU